GACGAACGCUGGCGGCGUGCUUAACACAUGCAAGUCGAACGGAAAGGCCCUGCUUUUGUGGGGUGCUCGAGUGGCGAACGGGUGAGUAACACGUGAGUAACCUGCCCUUGACUUUGGGAUAACUUCAGGAAACUGGGGCUAAUAUCGGAUAGGAGCUCCUGCUGCAUGUUGGGGGUUGGAAAGUUUCGGCGGUUGGGGAUUGACUCGCGGCUUACCAGCUUGUUGGUGGGGUAGUGGCUUACCAAGGCUUUGACGGGUAGCCGGCCUGAGAGGGUGACCGGCCACAUUGGGACUGAGAUACGGCCCAGACUCCUACGGGAGGCAGCAGUGGGGAAUAUUGCACAAUGGGCGGAAGCCUGAUGCAGCAACGCCGCGUGCGGGAUGACGGCCUUCGGGUUGUAAACCGCUUUCGCCUGUGACGAAGCGUGAGUGACGGUAAUGGGUAAAGAAGCACCGGCUAACUACGUG
rnacentral:rRNA from 1 species